AAGUUGAUGUUGAAGAGAUAAGUAAGCUUUAGCGGCAAAUGAUAGAGAGCUGACAUUUGGUGAAAGUCGGUUUUGAUUAGAAGUUGAAAAUGGUCUUGGAGUCGUGUAACGUGGUGAGUUUUAUCAAAAUCAGCCGCGUUCGGGUGCGCCCGUUACCGCGUUAGAGUAUCUCAUUUUUUGACGUACUUGUUAAGUGACUAGCAGCGAUGCUAGCCAGAAUCCGGGUGGUAACACGAUUGAAUCGUCCCGUAG
rnacentral:ncRNA from 1 species